CACAGAGAGCUUGCUCUCGGGUGACGAGCGGCGGACGGGUGAGUAAUGUCUGGGAAACUGCCUGAUGGAGGGGGAUAACUACUGGAAACGGUAGCUAAUACCGCAUAACGUCGCAAGACCAAAGUGGGGGACCUUCGGGCCUCAUGCCAUCAGAUGUGCCCAGAUGGGAUUAGCUAGUAGGUGGGGUAAUGGCUCACCUAGGCGACGAUCCCUAGCUGGUCUGAGAGGAUGACCAGCCACACUGGAACUGAGACACGGUCCAGACUCCUACGGGAGGCAGCAGUGGGGAAUAUUGCACAAUGGGCGCAAGCCUGAUGCAGCCAUGCCGCGUGUAUGAAGAAGGCCUUCGGGUUGUAAAGUACUUUCAGCGAGGAGGAAGGCGUUAAGGUUAAUAACCUUGGCGAUUGACGUUACUCGCAGAAGAAGCACCGGCUAACUCCGUGCCAGCAGCCGCGGUAAUACGGAGGGUGCAAGCGUUAAUCGGAAUUACUGGGCGUAAAGCGCACGCAGGCGGUCUGUCAAGUCGGAUGUGAAAUCCCCGGGCUCAACCUGGGAACUGCAUUCGAAACUGGCAGGCUAGAGUCUUGUAGAGGGGGGUAGAAUUCCAGGUGUAGCGGUGAAAUGCGUAGAGAUCUGGAGGAAUACCGGUGGCGAAGGCGGCCCCCUGGACAAAGACUGACGCUCAGGUGCGAAAGCGUGGGGAGCAAACAGGAUUAGAUACCCUGGUAGUCCACGCCGUAAACGAUGUCGACUUGGAGGUUGUGCCCUUGAGGCGUGGCUUCCGGAGCUAACGCGUUAAGUCGACCGCCUGGGGAGUACGGCCGCAAGGUUAAAACUCAAAUGAAUUGACGGGGGCCCGCACAAGCGGUGGAGCAUGUGGUUUAAUUCGAUGCAACGCGAAGAACCUUACCUACUCUUGACAUCCAGAGAACUUAGCAGAGAUGCUUUGGUGCCUUCGGGAACUCUGAGACAGGUGCUGCAUGGCUGUCGUCAGCUCGUGUUGUGAAAUGUUGGGUUAAGUCCCGCAACGAGCGCAACCCUUAUCCUUUGUUGCCAGCGGUCCGGCCGGGAACUCAAAGGAGACUGCCAGUGAUAAACUGGAGGAAGGUGGGGAUGACGUCAAGUCAUCAUGGCCCUUACGAGUAGGGCUACACACGUGCUACAAUGGCAUAUACAAAGAGAAGCGACCUCGCGAGAGCAAGCGGACCUCAUAAAGUAUGUCGUAGUCCGGAUUGGAGUCUGCAACUCGACUCCAUGAAGUCGGAAUCGCUAGUAAUCGUAGAUCAGAAUGCUACGGUGAAUACGUUCCCGGGCCUUGUACACACCGCCCGUCACACCAUGGGAGUGGGUUGCAAAAGAAGUAGGUAGCUUAACCUUCGGGAGGGCGCUUACCACUUUGUGAUUCAUGACUGGGGUGAAGUCGUAACAAGGUAACCGUAGGGGAACCUGCGGUUGGAUCACCUCCUUACCUUAAAGAA
rnacentral:rRNA from 1 species